GAUGAACGCUGGCGGCGUGCCUAAUACAUGCAAGUCGAGCGAACGGACGAGAAGCUUGCUUCUCUGAUGUUAGCGGCGGACGGGUGAGUAACACGUGGAUAACCUACCUAUAAGACUGGGAUAACUUCGGGAAACCGGAGCUAAUACCGGAUAAUAUUUUGAACCGCAUGGUUCAAAAGUGAAAGACGGUCUUGCUGUCACUUAUAGAUGGAUCCGCGCUGCAUUAGCUAGUUGGUAAGGUAACGGCUUACCAAGGCAACGAUGCAUAGCCGACCUGAGAGGGUGAUCGGCCACACUGGAACUGAGACACGGUCCAGACUCCUACGGGAGGCAGCAGUAGGGAAUCUUCCGCAAUGGACGAAAGCCUGACGGAGCAACGCCGCGUGAGUGAUGAAGGUCUUCGGAUCGUAAAACUCUGUUAGUAGGGAAGAACAUAUGUGUAAGUAACUGUGCACAUCUUGACGGUACCUAAUCAGAAAGCCACGGCUAACUACGUG
rnacentral:rRNA from 1 species